AGAGUUUGAUCCUGGCUCAGGACGAACGCUGGCGGCGUGCCUAACACAUGCAAGUCGAGCGAAUGAAGUUCCUUCGGGAACGGAUUUAGCGGCGGACGGGUGAGUAACACGUGGGCAACCUGCCUCAUAGAGGGGAAUAGCCUUCCGAAAGGGAGAUUAAUACCGCAUAAGAUUGUAGUACCGCAUGGUACAGCAAUUAAAGGAGCAAUCCGCUAUGAGAUGGGCCCGCGGCGCAUUAGCUAGUUGGUGGGGUAACGGCUCACCAAGGCGACGAUGCGUAGCCGACCUGAGAGGGUGAUCGGCCACAUUGGGACUGAGACACGGCCCAGACUCCUACGGGAGGCAGCAGUGGGGAAUAUUGCACAAUGGGGGAAACCCUGAUGCAGCAACGCCGCGUGAGUGAUGACGGCCUUCGGGUUGUAAAGCUCUGUCUUCAGGGACGAUAAUGACGGUACCUGAGGAGGAAGCCACGGCCAACUACGUGCCAGCAGCCGCGGUAAUACGUAGGUGGCGAGCGUUGUCCGGAUUUACUGGGCGUAAAGGGAGCGUAGGCGGAUUUUUAAGUGAGAUGUGAAAUACUCGGGCUUAACCUGAGUGCUGCAUUUCAAACUGGAAGUCUAGAGUGCAGGAGAGGAGAAGGGAAUUCCUAGUGUAGCGGUGAAAUGCGUAGAGAUUAGGAGGAACACCAGUGGCGAAGGCGACUUACUGGUCUGUAAUUGACGCUGAGGCUCGAAAGCGUGGGUAGCAAACAGGAUUAGAUACCCUGGUAGUCCACGCCGUAAACGAUGAGUGCUAAGUGUUAGGGGGUUUCCGCCCCUUAGUGCUGGAGUUAACGCA
rnacentral:rRNA from 1 species